AGAGUUGAUUAGAAACUUGGAGAAGUAAGUUUUUAUGAAAGGGUGAAAAUAUGAAAAGAAACAAGAAAAAGAAAUCACCCUUGAAACCAUAGAGCAAAGAAAAAGAAAAGAAAUAAAAAAACAAAGAAAAGGCUCAUGGUUGUGUGGAUGUAAAAAAAAAGAAAAAAGAUGAGAAAAGGAAAAAGACGGGGAUCAAAGAAAUGGAAAUUGUGUAGAGUUGAAUGUUUGGGAAUGCUCCCUUAGGAUAGGCAACUUUGUUGAAUUCUCUUAAUCAUAUCCUUUCUUGUAACCCAAGCCACAUUACAACCCUUAGGAUAGAGGCAUUGUUUGUUGAGAAAAACCACUUGACCAAAAAGUUUUGAAUCAACGAACCUUGUGAGGAGUAAU
rnacentral:lncRNA from 1 species